AGAGUUUGAUCAUGGCUCAGGACGAACGCUGGCGGCGUGCUUAACACAUGCAAGUCGAACGAGGUGCUUCGGCACUUAGUGGCGAACGGGUGAGUAACACGUGAGCAACCUGCCCUUGGCUCUGGGAUAGCCUCCGGAAACGGGGAUUAAUACCGGACAUUCACUUUUUCCUGCAUGGGGGAGGGUGGAAAGUUUUUCGGCCAGGGAUGGGCUCGCGGCCUAUCAGCUUGUUGGGGGGGUAACGGCCCACCAAGGCGACGACGGGUAGCCGGCCUGAGAGGGCGACCGGCCACACUGGGACUGAGACACGGCCCAGACUCCUACGGGAGGCAGCAGUGGGGAAUAUUGCACAAUGGGGGAAACCCUGAUGCAGCGACGCCGCGUGCGGGAUGAAGGCCUUCGGGUUGUAAACCGCUUUCAGCAGGGACGAAGCGAGAGUGACGGUACCUGCAGAAGAAGCGCCGGCUAACUACGUGCCAGCAGCCGCGGUAAUACGUAGGGCGCAAGCGUUGUCCGGAAUUAUUGGGCGUAAAGAGCUCGUAGGCGGCCUGUCACGUCUGCUGUGAAAUCCCGGGGCUUAACCCCGGGCGUGCAGUGGAUACGGGCUGGCUGGAGGCAGGCAGGGGAGAACGGAAUUCCCGGUGUAGCGGUGAAAUGCGCAGAUAUCGGGAGGAACACCGGUGGCGAAGGCGGUUCUCUGGGCCUGUUCUGACGCUGAGGAGCGAAAGCGUGGGGAGCAAACAGGAUUAGAUACCCCCGUAGUCC
rnacentral:rRNA from 1 species